AUUUUGUUACGUUGUUAAUUUUUGAUAUUUUAAUCUACAACUGAAGACGUAAACGUCUCUUUGAAGGGAAUGUAUUCUGUGACGACCUGACCUUCUUUUUAAGCUCUGACGUUUACUGUGUUCUCUGCUUCAAGACAAAAUAGAAAAUGCUGUAUUAAUAUAUAUAUAUAUUAAAAUAAAAUAUUUGUAAUUAGAAGAAAUUUUUGAGUCUGCAGAUCGUUAUUUUGACAUACAGGAGCACAAGAUCACAAAGAAUGUACCUACUUUUUUGUAGAAUAAUUAUUAAAAUGUUCUUCAGACGUCUGUAUAGUUUAAAGAGCACACACAAAUAAUUAAAUGUAUUUACAGAAAUAAAAAUCCGUACAAAAAAUAGAAAAGGUGUAUAAAUAUGUAGUAAAAUUAUAUAAUUGAUUGUUCAAAUCCUAGAAACACAUAAAUGUUUGCCUUCUUCCAGAUUUGCUUGAAAGAUACCCUUUUCCUACAUAAAAGGUAUUUCAGAUAGUUAAAUUUCCAUGUUUUCAUGUCAUUCAAGGAGCAAUUGAAAAAUGUUCUGUUAGGAUACAUGGCGUAUAUCUCAAUUAUCUUCUCUGCUAAAUACACUUUUCCUGAUUGAAUCG